AUUGAACGCUGGCGGCAGGCCUAACACAUGCGAGUCGAGCGGAUGAAGGGAGCUUGCUCCUGGAUUCAGCGGCGGACGGGUGAGUAAUGCCUAGGAAUCUGCCUGGUAGUGGGGGAUAACGUCCGGAAACGGGCGCUAAUACCGCAUACGUCCUGAGGGAGAAAGUGGGGGAUCUUCGGACCUCACGCUAUCAGAUGAGCCUAGGUCGGAUUAGCUAGUUGGUGGGGUAAAGGCCUACCAAGGCGACGAUCCGUAACUGGUCUGAGAGGAUGAUCAGUCACACUGGAACUGAGACACGGUCCAGACUCCCACGGGAGGCAGCAGUGGGGAAUAUUGGACAAUGGGCGAAAGCCUGAUCCAGCCAUGCCGCGUGUGUGAAGAAGGUCUUCGGAUUGUAAAGCACUUUAAGUUGGGAGGAAGGGCAGUAAGUUAAUACCUUGCUGUUUUGACGUUACCAACAGAAUAAGCACCGGCUAACUUCGUG
rnacentral:rRNA from 1 species